CAGGGGAAGUGAAUCUUGCGUCGCCGCCACAGAACAAAUCUUUGCGAGGUGAGGAUGUGCGUGACGACACUCAGCAACAUCAGGAAGAUGGUCAUCGACAUCACGAUAACGUAGUGGCUGAUGCUGUGCGGGAUAAAGAGAAAUGCUAAGCAGAAGGUAUGUGGCUGUGAGCGAGAGGAACACGCUGAGGAGCCGGUGAAACAGGCGCGUAGAGCUCAUCAAGGGAACGGGUAUGGAAGAGGCUAAAGAAAGCAGUACGGUAAGCUGUGUUUUUUUUUUUCUUCUUCUUUCUUUUUCCGAAAAACCAAAGCAAAUGCGCGUUCUCCGUCACAUGCCACCCACCUAAUGUGACCCAACUGAUGAGCUGAGCCAGAAGGGGCAGCCCCCGUUUCUGCUGCAGGCUGGAGUGCGUGAAGAACGGCACGCAUGCAGACACUGCCACAAGCAGCAUCUGUUCGGUGACACCCAUUAAAGUGAGGCCGGCUGCAUUCACACAAAUGCAGUCAUGCGCAGAACGUAAUUAGCCACAGCUACCUGUAUGACGAGCUGCUGUUUAUCACUAAAGAGGAGUGAUGUCCUGCUCCGUGAUGGCCACAGGAAACAGACCGAUAGAAACAGAGUGAGCAGACCAGCACAGAUCCUAAGAAAAUAAGUCGGGUGCUGCAUUAUUUGUAUUCUUAUCAGGAGGUUAUUGAUUCAACAAUGCACUUUAUUGACGUAUAUACUCACACCAGAUAUGUGUUGGGCUCCCUUCCCAUCACGGGCAUGAGGGGGAAAGCAGCCAAACAAAGGCAGCCCAGAAACCAGUUCACUGAGCAGCACUAGAAAGCGAUCAUGAUCAGACAAGCUCAUCAAAAUGAACGA